AUUGAACGCUGGCGGCAGGAUUAACACAUGCAAGUCGAGCGAGCGGCGGACGGGUGAGUAAUGUCUGGGAAAAUGGCUGAUGGAGGGGGAUAACUCCUGGAAACGGUAGCUAAUACCGCAUACCAUCAGAUGUGCCCCGAUGGGAUUAGCUAGUAGGGGGGGUAAUGGCUGACCUAGGCGACGAUCCCUAGCUGUUCUGAGAGGAGGACCAGCCACACGGUAACUGAGACACGGUCCAGACUCCUACGGGAGGCAGCAGUGGGGAAUAUUGCACAAUGGGCGCAAGCCUGAUGCAGCCAUGCCGCGUGUGUGAAGAAGGCCUUCGGGUUGUAAAGCACUUUCAGCGAGGAGGCGUUACUCGCAGAAGAAGCACCGGCUAACUCCGUGCCAGCAGCCGCGGUAAUAC
rnacentral:rRNA from 1 species